CCCAGACUCCUACGGGAGGCAGCAGUGGGGAAUAUUGCACAAUGGGGGGAACCCUGAUGCAGCGACGCCGCGUGGGCGAGGAAGUAUUUCGGUAUGUAAAGCCCUAUCGGCAGGGAAGAAGGAGGACGGUACCUGACUAAGAAGCCCCGGAUAACUACGUGCCAGCAGCCGCGGUAAUACGUAGGGGGCAAGCGUUAUCCGGAUUUACUGGGUGUAAAGGGGGCGCAGACGGCAGCGCAAGCCAGGAGUGAAAGCCCGGGGCCCAACCCCGGGACUGCUCUUGGAACUGCGCGGCUGGAGUGCAGGAGGGGCAGGCGGAAUUCCUGGUGUAGCGGUGAAAUGCGUAGAUAUCAGGAGGAACACCGGUGGCGAAGGCGGCCUGCUGGACUGCGACUGACGUUGAGGCCCGAAAGCGUGGGGAGCAAACAGGAUUAGAUACCCGGGUA
rnacentral:rRNA from 1 species